CCUACGGGAGGCAGCAGUGAGGAAUAUUGGUCAAUGGCCGGAAGGCUGAACCAGCCAAGCCGCGUGAAGGACGAAGGUGCCAAGCAUUGUAAACUUCUUUUGUCAAGGGACAAAAUCAGGCUCGAGAGCCUGACCGAGGGUACUUGAAGAAAAAGCAUCGGCUAACUCCGUGCCAGCAGCCGCGGUAAUACGGAGGAUGCGAGCGUUAUCCGGAUUUAGUGGGUUUAAGGGGUGCGUAGGCGGACUGUUAAUUCAGCGGUAAAAGCCCGGGGCUAAACCCGGGCGAGCCGUUGAAACUGGGUGUCUUGAGAAGUCGAGAGGUAUGCGGAAUGCGCAGUGUAGCGGUGAAAUGCUUAGAUAUUGCGAAGAACUCCGAUUGCGAAGGCAGCAUACCGGCGGCGAUCUGACGCUGAGGCACGAAAGCGUGGGUAUCGAACAGGAUUAGAUACCCGAGUAGUC
rnacentral:rRNA from 1 species